rnacentral:rRNA from 1 species
GUGAGGAAUUUUCCGCAAUGGGCGAAAGCCUGACGGAGCAAUGCCGCGUGAAGGAUGAAGGCCUAUGGGUUGUAAACUUCUUUUCUCAGAAAAGAAUUAUGACGGUAUCUGAGGAAUAAGCAUCGGCUAACUCUGUGCCAGCAGCCGCGGUAAGACAGAGGAUGCAAGCGUUAUCCGUAAUGAUUGGGCGUAAAGCGUCUGUAGGUUGUUUAAAAAGUAUUCUGUCAAAGAUUAGGGCUUAACCCUAGAUAGGCAGAAUAAACUUUUAAGCUAGAGUUUGGUAGAGGAAGAGGUAAUUCCAGGUGGAGCGGUGAAAUGCGUAGAUAUCGGGAGGAACACCAAAGGCGAAGGCACUCUGCUGGGCCAAUACUAACACUGAGAGACGAAAGCGAGGGGAGCAAAUGGGAUUAGAUACCCUUGUAGUCC